rnacentral:rRNA from 1 species
GAUGAACGCUGGCGGCGUGCUUAAUACAUGCAAGUCGAACGAACGGACGCGAAGCUUGCUUCUCUGAUGUUAGCGGCGGCCGGGUGAGUAACACGUGGAUACCCCCCCUAUAAGACUGGGAAAACUUCGGGAACCCGGAGCUAAUCCCGGAUAAUAUUUUGAUCCUCAUGGUUCAAUAGUGAAAGACGGUCUUGCUGUCACUUAUAGAUGUAUCCGCGCUGCAUUGGCUAGUUGGUAAGGUAACGGCUUACCAAGGCAACGAUGCGUAGCCGACCGGAGAGGGUGAUCGGCCACACUGGAACUGAGACACGGUCCAGACUCCUAAGGGAGGCAGCAGUAGCGAAUCUGCCGCAAUGGGCGAAAGCCUGACGGAGCAACGCCGCGUGAGUGAUGAAGGUCUUCGGAUCGUAAAACUCUGUUAUGAGGGAAGAACAUAUUUGUAAGUAACUGUGCACGUCUUGACGGUACCUAAUCAGAAAGCCACGGCUAACUACGUG